GAUGAACGCUAGCGGGAGGCUUAACACAUGCAAGUCGAGGGGUAAGAAGGUAGCAAUACUUUCCUAGACCGGCGCACGGGUGAGUAACGCGUAUGCAACCUGCCCUUUACAGGGGGAUAGCCCGGAGAAAUCCGGAUUAAUACCCCAUGGACCUGCAACCUCGCAUGAGGAAACAGGUAAAGCUGAGGCGGUAAAGGAUGGGCAUGCGUGACAUUAGCUAGUUGGUAAGGUAACGGCUUACCAAGGCUACGAUGUCUAGGGGUUCUGAGAGGAAGGUCCCCCACACUGGUACUGAGACACGGACCAGACUCCUACGGGUGGCUG
rnacentral:rRNA from 1 species